GACCACGUAGCUCAGUUGGCAGAGCAUUGGGCUAGAAUUCCAAAGGUCGUAGGUUCGAAUCCCACCGUAGCCA
rnacentral:tRNA from 1 species